AUUUCUAAAACAAAAUUUUCAAAACAAAUACAAAUAUCUAAUUUGAAUCUUUACUCUCUGCAAAGCAAAUAUCUGCUUCUAAUUAUCUCUCUCGUAUUCUCAAAACAAAUCGCUUAACCGGAACUAAUUAUAAAGACUAGGUAAGAAACUUAAAAAUAGUUUUAAAUUUCAAAAAGCUCUGCAAUGUUCUCGACCAGAAAAAUCUCACGUUACCAAACCGUCCAAUAACUAACCGAA
rnacentral:lncRNA from 1 species